CCGCGCUCCGCCACCGCCCUCCGGCCACCGCCGCUGCGUGCUCCGCGGCGCUUCCCAGCGCGCCGGAUCCCGGGGAAUUGCGCCAGGCCCCGCCCCGCGUCGCCUCGGGGCUCCCUGGGACUUGUAGUCCGCGGCCGGGCCCGCGCGUGGGACGGCGGAGCGCGCGGGAGGCCCGCAGGGUCCCGGCCCCGGCCCCGGUCCGGCCCCCUCGGCGUCCCCGAGCCACCUGGCCCCGUCCCCUGCCUCGGCACCUGGACGCGGCGCGCCAGCCUGCCAGCGCUCUUGUUUGUGUCCGAGCGCCUGGCCCGACGCACCCUCUGCGCCCGCCGACUCCCACGACCCCUGUCUGCUGGCGGCCUCACUCCCCCUUCCGUUACUUUCUGCCUCCCUCUUCUGGAUAUGCACACGGCGCGAGUGCUUCCGAGACCAACUGCUACCAAGACCUUCCUGAGCCCACGCCGGCGGAAGGCCAGGCUGCACCGGUGAACUGAAGUUUCCGGGGAUGUGAGGUGCGGCCAGAUACCACGGGGGCUUCCUCGACUUUUUCAUCCUAGCACCUUGAGCCUAGCAUUGCACCAGGAAUCAUUCACACACUCUGGAUUCAGCCACCUCUGAAAAAGCCCCAUCUGGUUCUUCAUGAGGCUUUCGGGGGCAUCUAGACACAGCCACAAGACCCUUCAAAGACUCUGUCUCCAAACACAGUCACAUUCUGCUGUCAACUUGUGAGUUUUCGGGGACACAGCUCAGCCCACGACAGUGCCUCUCCUGAAGGACGUCUCUGCUUCCAGCCCAUCUUGACCUUUGUGGUCACCCUGGCCUUCUUGCACUUCAACGCACGCCGCCUCAGUACAUUGCCAGGUUCCCCUGCCAGGACAGCGCCUCCCCAGCACCCUCUCUGGCUCCACCACUCCUUCCUGUACUUACUCCCAAGCCACUUGCUCAGCGAGACCUUUGCCACCUUACCCAAAGUCACAUCCCUUCUCAUUGACACUUUGUGUCUCCAUUCCUUGCUGUGGUGGAAAGAAUGAUGGUCCCUGAAGAAGAACCACAAAUGUGUUACCUGAAAUGGCACAAGGGACCCUGCCGCUGUGCCUGCGUUAAGGGCCUCGAGAUGGAGAGGUGAUCCUGGGCCGGCUCCAGCGUCAUCGAAGGGGUCAGAGUCAGACAAGAGAUGUGAUGGCAGAUGCCGGGGCAGGGUGGGGGCCUGAUGGUAAGAUGCUGCUGUGGCAGCUUGAAAGGCAGAGGAAGGGGCCACGAGCCAAGGAGUGUAGACGUCUCUGGAAGCCAGAAAAGGCAAGAACUUAGACUCUUUCCCAGAAACCCCAGAAAAAAACCCAGCUGUAUUGACCUAUGCUGGACUUCUGACCUUUGGAACAACAUAAUAAACUCAUGUUGCUUAAGCCACUUAAAUCCAUGCUAAUUUUCCUAAUAAUAGGAAGCUAAUACCCUUCCUUGGUUUUUUUCUUAGCACUUACUCAUGUCUAAAUGACCUCCUACUUAUCUUGAAUAUGUCCAUGCCGCCCAUUAGAACAUGAGUUCCAUUGGCCAGGAUCUUGUCUGUUUUUUUCUCCAUUCUAACCCCAGCCCCUAUAACAGUGCCUGACGCAUAGUAGGUGCCUGAUGCAAAGUGUGUGCCAAACUAGUGGCUUCCCUGUUAAAUUGUAACUGCCAUGCAGACAAGGACCACAGUGUACCUGGGAAUACAGAGACUUCCCUUCAGCUGCAGAAGCUCCCCUCUCUGCAUGCCAGGCACAUAGUAAGUGCUCAAUAAAACCUAGCUGAAUUAAAACAGAAGUUGCACACAAUUGGUUCUUACAGGAUCUAUGUCUUUAUUUCUUUUGCAUUUUUAAGUCAGUGUUUAUUUUUGGAGUUCUAAAGAUUAUCUUCCUGAUAUGUAAGAAAAAUGAGCAGUAGAAUUAUUUAAGGUGGCUUUAAAAAAAGAUUUUCAUAUUUAUUGGAUAUCAUUUAAACUAAUUUAGUGGAAUAUAUAAACUCAGCAUCCCUAAUCCAAAGUCCAGAACUUUUUGAGCACCAACAUGAGACCACAAAUGGAAUAUUCCACACCAUGAAACUUUAGUUUCAUGCACAAAAUUAUUAAAAGUAUUGUAUAAAGGGGUGGGGAAUUUAGCUCAGUGGUGCCACCCCCUGCCUCGCAAGCAUGAGUUCCUGAGUUCGAUCCCUGGUACCAAAAAAAGAAAAAAGUAUUGUAUAAAGUUACCUACCUUCAGGGUAUGGGUCUGAGUUGUGUAUGAAACAUAAGUGAAUUUUAUAUUUAAAUGUGGAUCCCUCCUCAAAAUUUCUCAUUAUGCAUGUACAAACAUUCCAAAAUCUCCCUGCCCCAAAAUCUGAAACAGGAAACACUUCUGCUCCACCUGGAUAAAGGAUUUUCAAUUUGUAAUAGCUUUUAUUAAGAUUUUCAAAAUCUCAUUGAAAUUGCAAAUGAUUCCUAGUUGAAAUCCAAGUUUAUCUUUCUAAAAUAAAGGUACUUGUAGAUCCUCAAGGGGCCCUUAAAAACUCUUAGAGAACUUUAGGGGUGACCAGAAGGUGGGGUUCACAAAGGGUAGGGCCGAGCACAAACGGAGCACUGGAUGCUACUUUUCGGGGCAGUUUCCCAGUCCUUGUUCAUGGCCAUCCCCUACCUGACUGUUGCCUUCAGGACCCCACUCCUGCCUCUGCCCUCCCCUCCUCUUUCUUGAGAGCAGAUGCACCUCCCGCAGUCUCAGCCCACCAUGGUAUACUGAUCAUGAUGCUUUAAUAGGUUGAGAAAUCAGUUUAUCUUUUUUUUUUUUUUGGUACUGGGGAUCGAACUCAGGACCUUGCACUUGUGAGGCUGGCAGCGGCACCACUGAGCUAAAUCCCCAGCCCCAGAAAUCAGUUUAUCAAUAAAUGAAUUGUGCAGGAUUGGGUAGCACAGGAAAGGGUAGGAUAAGACAUUAGGUUAUCACAGGUGGUGGGGAUCAGUUCUGUUCAAGGUAAGGUUUUUGUUUGGUUGGUUUGUUGUGGAUGUUGUUGUUGUUGUUUUGGUGCAAUCUUCGUUACUGUGAAGACUGAAGAAGUCCUGUUUCUCAGAGUACAGGCAUGGAAGCUGAGGCUCCACCCUGCCUUCUCUCUGAGCCUUUGCUGACACCACUAUUCAAGAGCUCCGGUGUUGUAUCGGCUUCCUGCUGCUGCCCAACGCAUUGCCACAAGCAGUGACUUAAAAUAGUGCCCACCAAUCACCCUGCAGAUCUGGGUGAUGACAUCUGAGAUGGGUCUCCUAAGCUGUCUGCAGGGUGCUUCCAUUUUUGAGGCUCUAGGGGGGCACCUGUCCCCUGCCUUUCUAGCACCAGCUUCAAAACAUCGGAGCCUCUUCACAUCUCUCCCGAUCCUCCUACCUCUCUCUUUCAUGUCCUCACGCACGCUGCAGCACGCGCCAGAAUUUGCUUCCUUUUGAAGGCUGACUGGUAGUCCAUUAUGCAGAGAGGCCGAAGUUUGUUCAUUGCUCUGCCAAAGGAUGCAUGGGCUGCCUCCACCUUCCCACCUGCUGUGAGUGAUCCUGCCAUGAAUUUGCACCAAGGUCUCUCUGAGGUCCUGCUUUCAGUUCUUGGGGGAUAUAUCCAGAAGUGGCACUGCUGGAGCUGAGCUUGGGAAGCCACCAGAUACUGGACCAGCAGGGUUGGAAAUCAACUGGCAACAGCCCCCAAAGCCUUGUGGUGUCAGGUAACAGAGAACAGAGGGCGGCCCUGUGACAAGAGGAAGGAAGGCAUCCUGCAGAAACCCCACUGCUGAGUGGAAAUGCCCUGCCUGACUGCUAGGAAUACAGCCACCUAGAAUGUGUUUCGCUACAGUGUUUCCACGGAACCAGCUGCUGCUACUUUUUCUAUUUCCCAAGGAGGGUAAUAGGCAAAGCGGCCUUGUUCUUCUGCCACCCCAAGCCACCUUCUGCACAUGCUACUCCAGUCCUUGCUGAUGUCAGCUCCGGGGGAAUUAAGAUGCAUCUACAAUUUGCACACCCACCUCAGCUCUUCUUCAAUGUUUAAAGUGGGUAUUAAUAGAGACACGUGCUAAAACAAUCAUGUAAAUCAUUCCCUCUGUAUGUGAAGUGCAAAAUACACGAUAAUUCUGUUAUGCAUUCUUCUCUCAAAAAAUAGAAGCUUAACUUGCUUACACAAAUUCUGCAAACUGAUUAAAAAGCUGGUUUUAUACACAUAGCUUUGGCUGAUGAACAAAUUAGACAUUGAGAAAUCAGAUGCAAAUGAGUAGUUUGCAGACACUUUUGAAAUUAUAUAAUCGGCUCCCAGGAUCAUGUGAAAACCAAGAAACUGCUUAAGAAUGGAUCUAUUGAGACAGCUCAAAGGAGGAUUUAUGUAAUGUUUAUCAACUUCAUUUUUUCUCAUAGUCUUUGUCAUCUAUUUUUGUAAGCACCUCUGUAAUUUAGCCUUCAUUUGUUUUAUAGAUUAUCUACUACCGUGUCUUUGGGGCUUGUUAAAUUGGA
ensembl:lncRNA